rnacentral:rRNA from 1 species
AUAUCAGUCAUGCAUAGCAUAUCAAUAAGCGGAGGAAAAGAAACUAACUAAGGAUUCCCCUUAGUAACUGCGAGUGAAGCGGGAAGAGCUCAAAUUUGAAAUCUUAAAAGGUUUUCCUUUUACGAAUUGUAGUUUAAAGAAGUGUUUUCUGUUGAAAUUUUAGUAAAAGUUCUUUGGAAUAGGACAUCAUAGAGGGUGAGAAUCCCGUAUUUGACUAGAAUUUUUCAACUUUGUGAUUACACUUUCAAAGAGUCGGAUUGUUUGGGAAUGCAGUCCAAAAUGGGUGGUAAAUUUCAUCUAAAGCUAAAUAUUGGCGAGAGACCGAUAGCGAACAAGUACCGUGAGGGAAAGAUGAAAAGAACUUUGAAAAGAGAGUUAAAUAGUACGUGAAAUUGUCAAAAGGGAAGCGUUUGGCACCAGUGUUGUUUUUCUAAAAAUCAAUUUAAAAUUUGCUUAUGCUAAGUUUUUUAGACUUAAUCGGCUAAUAAUUUAGUUUUUUGUAAUUUUUGAAUGCACUUUUUAGUUAACAAGUCAACAUCAAUUUCUUUUGUUGUAAAAGAAUAAGAGGAAGGUGGCUUGGGAUUAGUUUCAAGUGUUUAUAGCCUUUUAUUUCUGCAAUAGGAGGGAUUGAGGUCUGCAGCAUAGAUCCUUCGGGGCUAGAUGCAUUUUCGCUAAGAGUCAGUAUUAUAUAAACAACUUGUUGAUUAUGUAGUAUGUUGAUUUUUACUCGGGAGUGUUAUUUUACCUACGCUUAGGAUGUUGAUCUACAGAGCGAGAGU